rnacentral:rRNA from 1 species
UGAGCAACCUGCCCCUGGCUCUGGGAUAACCCCCGGGGAAACCGGAGCUAAUACCGGAUACGAGACCGAUUGGCAUCUUUACGGUCUGGAAAGUUUUUCGGCCAGGGAUGGGCUCGCGGCCUAUCAGCUUGUUGGUGGGGUAAUGGCCCACAAGGCGACGACGGGUAGCCGGCCUGAGAGGGCGACCGGCCACACUGGGACUGAGACACGGCCCAGACUCCUACGGGAGGCA